CCAAGAUAAAUAAUAAAAAAAUUGUCACAACGUUCAAUCUGUGAGAAUGCAGCUUUAACUACAUAUUGAAAAGCAAUAAAAAAAUGAAUAUUAAUUACAGAGAAUGACUCAAAGAUCAAGCAUUACAGAGACUCUAUACAAAGGCAGACUUGUGCCAAAUUGGAGGAAGAAAUUAAAAACAACACAAUAGUGUGCAAGACUGGUCAUGCCAAAAUCAUUGUGGGUUUUGACCUGUUGAGCUGCUAUGUGAGACACGCGGCCGAGGUACAACAUGAGUGAUGACUUUAACAGAAGGUGCUCUGUACUGCAGCUACAGAAAUGUCAUGCAACAGCAGCUUAUCAGAGAGAAUUCCAUCCUUAACUUAGGUUUAUGCUGUGUGGAUUCUGGUAGGAGAGGGUACCCUACAAAAGAAGGCUCUCAUAUUGCAAUACGAAGAUCCUUGGUUGGACGUUUGCAAUGCCAAGCUGUUGCAAGCUAAUUCCACAAAGAACAAAGUUGCAAGAAAAAACUGGGCUCUACCGAUGCUUGCAACUAAAAAAAACUUUAAAUGAUGUUGUGUUAUCAGAUUGAACAAGAGCUUGAGGUUUUACCAGAAAGGACAUGUUUUUGACAAACUGCCAUCAAGAGCUUCAAAGGGAAACAUCCCUACAUGUACCAGUGUUGAUGGUGUUUAUGGGGACGGUGCUAGCUUCCCAUCUGUGAAUGCCACAAUGCUUGGAAGAAGUCGCGCUUCUUCUGCCCAUCACGUAACAACAGCACUCACAUCAUCUCCUGGAGGACAACAACAACAAUGAUGAAUUCUGAUUUGUGAUCUAUAGAUGAUUUAAUACCUAUAAGGCUAUUUAUAUUUCAUGUUUGUUUUUUGUUGUUUCAUACAUGAAGGCAAAGAAGUUGUUAGCAUGUUUGUUUUUCGAAAUGUUGUUGGCAUCAGUGAAGGUGUUUGCUCUUGAAAGGUUUAAUAAGCCCAGAUAUCCUGCAAUGAAAUCUUUGGUGACGGUUUUCCUGACCAUCUUUAGUGGGCCGCUUGUAGAGGCCAGUUUUAAUAUAAUGGACGACAAUGUGGAGAAGGAAAGGCCCAGUCUCACAGUGGAGAACUAUUAGAAUGUUGUUAUCAUAAAAUUCACAUUGAGGAAAAAGAAAUUAAAAAGCCAUAAAAUGAAAGUUAGUGUAUGAUGAAGAGAUCCUGCAUGAAUACUUACAGCACUUACAGAGCUCUUCAGAAGAAAAAGGAGCUGAAACAACAGCAAAUGGAGGAAAAAUAAGUGCAUCAGUGCUUCAACUGAAGGCUGAGAUAGCCAAAAGAGUACUAAAACCUAAUUGUGUCUGAUAUCUGUUUUAUGUAUGUUGGAUAUCUGUGUGUCGAAUGCCUGCCUGUGUCUGAUAUCUGUCUGUCUGAUGUCUAUCUGCCUGAUAAUGUCUGAUAUCUAUUUUAUGUAUGUUGGAUAUCUAUCUGUCAGAUGCCUGCUUGUGUCUGGUAGCUGUCUUCCUGAUGUAUGUCUGCCUGUCUGCCUAAUUGUAUCUGAUAUCUGUUUUAUGUAUGUUAGAUAUCUGUGUGUUGGAUGACUGUCUGUGUCUGAUAUCUGUCUGUCUGAUGUAUGUCUGCCUGAUUGUGUCUGAUAUCUGAUUUAUGUAUGUUGGAUAUCUGUCUGACUGCCUGCCUGUGUCUGGAAGCUGUUUGUCCGAUGUCUGCCUGUCUGUUUGAAGUACUUCUAAUUGAUUAUAUUUGUUGAUGAUGUUAUCAAUAAUGCAUUAUGUCUGAAAGCAAAUAUGUUUCUUUUAACUAUUUUACCAAAUUAUUACUGAAACUUCUAAAAAUUAAUUAAAUAAAGGAU